rnacentral:rRNA from 1 species
AACAAAGGUGACAACACGUUGAAUGUACUAGUUCCUGAUAGAUUACUGAAGUUAAGCAACGUUGCGCAUGGUUAGUAUCCAAAUGGGUGACCUUCUGGGCAAUCGCGUGUUGCUGGCU